rnacentral:rRNA from 1 species
GACGAACGCUGGCGGCGUGCUUAACACAUGCAAGUCGAACGGAAAGGCCCUGCUUUUGUGGGGUGCUCGAGUGGCGAACGGGUGAGUAACACGUGAGUAACCUGCCCUUGACUUUGGGAUAACUUCAGGAAACUGGGGCUAAUACCGGAUAGGAGCUCCUGCUGCAUGGUGGGGGUUGGAAAGUUUCGGCGGUUGGGGAUGGACUCGCGGCUUAUCAGCUUGUUGGUGGGGUAGUGGCUUACCAAGGGUUUGACGGGUAGCCGGCCUGAGAGGGUGACCGGCCACAUUGGGACUGAGAUACGGCCCAGUGUCCUACGGGAGGCAGCAGUGGGGAAUAUUGCACAAUGGGCGGAAGCCUGAUGCAGCAACGCCGCGUGCGGGAUGACGGCCUUCGGGUUGUAAACCGCUUUCGCCUGUGACGAAGCGUGAGUGACGGUAAUGGGUAAAGAAGCACCGGCUAACUACGUG